rnacentral:lncRNA from 1 species
CUUCAACUGCUGCAGGAGGGACGCGUUGGGGGUGGCACCUGGGCCAGUGUGGUUUGGGUCCCCUAAGCCCUGUUCCCACUGCGCUAUGCCCUGGAAAGAACAUUUCCAGGAGAUGGGGAAAGAAAAGCCACAGCACCAGGGACUGGAACCCGAACCUUCUCACUGAGCUCAGCCUCUCCCUUCUUCCUUUUGUAUUUGGCACAAGUUUUCCUUAAGUUGCUGCUAAGUUUCCCUUGCUGGUCUUGAACUUCAGAUUCUCCUGCUUCAGCCUCCCAGAGGGCUGGGGUUACAGACUUGGGUCCUUGCGCUUGCGCAGCCGGCAAAGAAACCACUGAGCUAAAUCCCAG